GCGCUCCACUGGAAGGACUCUGGAUAACGGGAUCUCUGUCCGAGGAAAUCUCACCGGAACUCCCGGAAUCGAUAAAAGAGAUCGAAACACUGGAUCGUGUCGGGGCGGGGCCCAUUUAAAGUCGCUCUGAAAAUCAUUGCUGUUAACGUGAACAGAUCAAAUUUCCACCAAUAACGACACAACGACUGUAAGAUCAUAAAUGAUCAUAAUCAGUUUACAGCUUCAACCUGCCGAAUCCAUACGGACUGCAUUGGCGUAAGGCGAUUUUUGUUUACAGUACCGAGACCAACACACCCCCACCUUUACCGAAGCGGCAGCGUUCAGCAUUCAGACUGUGAGUUGUGUCUUCACUCAGCUGAAGUGCCUUUGCGGUCAGAUGCCUUGUUCUUUCUGUUUGAAUCCAAAUGGCUAACAAACUGGUGAUUGCUUCCCAUAUUUCACCAGGCCGACUGUAGAAUUUAAUCUUCUCUACCCAAAUGUAUCCAUCCCAUGCUUAUCACUGGUAGGCGUGUAUGUAUAGAAAUCCCCGCUUUUGCCACAAUCUGUCACGCAUCAACUUUUCAAAAGUCUAAAGUGUCAGAAAGUUCCUGCUGGCAUUUCUGGCUUCCAAUUCUACCUUCCCCUGAAGGUCAGAAACCAUGGAUUUGUGAUCUAUAGACAAUUCAUUGAACAAACAGUUUGUUGCUUUCAGAUACUUAUUCAGAUCCUUCCUUCAUGGUUUUAAGGUGACUGGCCAUGUUAAUCAUUCUUCUUCAGCAAUCCUGGAUAUUCCAGGAUGACUCAUUCCUGCGGCAGUUCGUGAAGAUUGGAGUGUGACUGAUGAGGCCAUUUUGGGGCAGGUGGAUAGAUUGAGAUUUGGGUGACUUCCCACUUUUUGUGCUUGUUCUCCUGGUGCUUCUGCCAGAGAGACAUGAGACAUUUGAUUCCUCUGGUUAGUUUUGCAUUAGGGAUCUUCAGAGGCAGUAAGGAUGAUGUGUUUGCCCCCAAGAACAUGACUAAUGCAUUCUGUUCAUCUUCCUUGAAAUGUCUUUGAAAUAUCCUUGAAAGCUAAUGGCAUGUUGGCCUUCAUAACAAGGGGAGUUGAGUAUAGGAGCAAAGAGGUCCUUCUGCAGUUGUACAGGGCCUUGUGAGACCACACCUGGAGUAUUGUGUUCAGUUUUGGUCUCCAAAUUUGAGGAAGGACAUUCUUGCUAUUAAGGGAGUGCAGCGUAGGUUCACGAGGUUGAUUCCCAGGAUGAUGGGACUGCCAUAGGCUGAAAGAUUGGAGCGACUGGGCUUGUAUACACUGGAAUUUAGAAGGGUGAGAGGAGAUCUGAUUGAAACAUAUAAGAUUAUUAAGGGAUUGGACACGCUAGAGGCAGGAAAUAUGUUUCUGAUGUUGUGGGAGUCCAGAACCAGAGGCCACAGUUUAAGAAUAAGGGGUAGGCCAUUUAGAAUGGAGUUGAGGAAAAACUUUUUCACCAGAGAGUUGUGGAUCUAUGGAAUGCUCUGCCCCAGAAGGCAGUGGAGGCCAAUUCUCUGGAUGCUUUCAAGAAAGAGUUAGAUGGAGCUCUUAAAGAUAAUGGAGUCAAGGGAUAUGGGGAGAGGGCAGGAACGGGGUACUGAUUGUGGAUGAGCAGCUUGAUCACAUUGAAUGGCGGUGCUGGCUCAAAGGGCCAAAUGGCCUACUCCUGCACCUACUGUCUAUUGCUUAUUGUCUAUCUUGCCAAGAUGGAGGUCAGAAUAAUGCCAUUUUUGGGGGGGGGGGGUCUGUGGGGAGCUACAUAGAAGCUGCAGCCCACUCAGUUAAGCAAGUUGCAUGUGAUCUCCACCUUGAAAUUGACAUUGGUUGGUUGGUGGACUUAAAGCAUUUUGGAGAAGGGGCCUUAACAGUACAUCUCUGAGGCUUGAGAUGCCUAUUGUAAAUUAUUCAUGUCUCUGUGGCAGGGGAAUAGAGAUUAUAACUCAGGCUUGAAAAAGGGUCUCAGCCCAAAAUGUUGACUCCUUGUUUAUUUCCAUAGAUGCUGCAUGACCUGCUGAGUUCCUCCAGCAUUUUGUGUGUUGCUUUGGGUUUCCAGCAUCUGCAGACUUUCUCAUGUUUAGAGAUGAGAACUCUUUAGUUGACCACAAACUUGGUACUGCAUUUGAGGACUUUUUAUUCUCAGACACCCAAAGGCUGUGCUGGUACACUGACUACAAUAAGACCAUAAGACAUAGGAGCAGAAUUAAGCCAUUUGACCCAUCAAGUCUGCUCCACAAUUCCAUCAUGGCUGAUCCCGGAUCUCAUUCGACCCCAUACACCUGCCUUCUCAUCAUAUCCUUUGAUGCCCUGACUGAUCAAGAAACUAGCAACUUCCUAUAAUAUUAUAUGGUCAGGUAUUUUUUUCUCUUUUCUUUUUCACCAACCAGCUCAUUUUGGUAGUGGGGAUAGAUUUUUUUUAAUAAAGUACAAUCAUUCUACUUUAUUUCAUUUCAUAAUUCAAUCUUUCUUUCUACGUGAUUGAUUUGGAAUAUGGGAUUCUGUGAUCAUAUUACUGUGAUUUAAAUGUGAUGUAAUUUGUAUUACUUGUAUCCUUAUGAACUUUGUAUUUAUAUCCAUGCAAUUUAUACAAUAUUAAUAAAAAAUAUUGAAAGAGGAAACUAUCAACUUCUGCCUGAAAAUGGAGGGCUUAUCCUCCACCGUAGUCUGUGGCAGAGCAUUCCACAGAUUCACUACUCUUUAGCUAAAAAAAACCCUCCUUACAUUAUCUCUGUUCUAAAGGGUUGCCUCUCAAUUUUGAGGCUGUGCCCUCUAGUUCUGGAUACCCCCACCACAAGAAACCACCUCUCCACAUCCACCCUAUCAAUUCCUUUCAACAUUCAGUUGGUUUCAAUGAGAUCUCCCCGCAUCCUUCUAAAUUCCAGUGAGUACAGGCUGCCAAAUGCUCCUCAUAUGUUAACCCCUAUAUUCCCGGAAUCAUUUGCUUUAUUCCAUUGGGAUACUGAUACAUGUGAGUUAUGCUUCUCCCUCUCAAGUUGCAGUAUGAGUACAAUCAUAUUAUUUUAUUUAUUAAGUACCUCAUUACAAUUGUGUUAUUACCUUAUUUCAUGCCUUUUCCAGCUCCCUUUGCAAUCUCAGCCUCACAUCUUGGCUACUAUUUGAAGGCUAUAUAUGAUUCCCGUAAUGAUUUUUUUCACCCUUGCAAUUUCUUAAUUCCACCCACAAAGAUUCAACAUUCUUUGGCCCUGUGUCACCUCUUUCUAAAGAUGUAAUUCUAUCUCUUACUAACAGAGCCACACCACCACCUAUGCCAUCCUGCCUGUCCUUUUGAUACAAAGUAUAUCCUUUGAUGUUAAACUCACAACUAUGAUCUUCUUUCAGCCACGACUCAGUGACGCCCACAAUGUCACACCGACUAAUCUCUAAUUGUGCCACAAGUUUAUCCACCAUAUUCCGAAUGCUAUAUGCAUUUAAGUAUGCACUGUCAGCCCUGAAUUUUGCUCUUCUGAAUUUUGCCUCUGUGAUAUAAUAGCAAAUUAUCAUCAUGAAUGUUCAGCUUUGUUGAAAAUUAGCUCCCAAGAUAUGAGAAAUAGCCUAUACAUUGACAGAUCUCAUCUUGCACCUUUCUCAACAAGAUUCAGUGCUUUGCCAAUUUUUAAUGAAAGGUCAGUUCCCUCAUUCUGCAGUGCCCAAGUCAAUGGCGACUUGGAACCUAACCCCUGAACUUUAAAAUAAUCAAGUAUAGCAGCUCAGUAAUGAGCGUGGGAUCAAGAUUGUCUUGGUUCUGGUGUGGCUGAAUAGUUUCCCCAUUCUUCUGUAGAGUAGUUUUAGUCCAAAUAGAAGUUUGUUAGAGAUGAGGUGCAGCAUUGUGGUGAGCAAGAUGGAGGGAAACAUUGCAUAAGAUGGAAACAAUUUUCGACUUGCAGACAGAUAUGAGGCGAUGCUGCACAAUCCCUCUCAGCUGACUGAGCCAAAAGUGAUAGUGAGAUCAUAAAAUGCUUAUGUCUGAUGUUACUCUGAAUUUUCUUUACAGUCGAUCCACAGCGAGGACCACAUCUGCUAUGCUCCUUAACAAAUGAAAUCCACAUUACAAUUUGGGAACAGCUCUUUGGCCACUGAGAGUUGGUGGUUGAAGAGGAGACGGAUGCUGUAAUAUUUGUAUGUCAAGGAGGAUUGGGGAGUUAAGCAGGACAAUACUCUCAACUGAUUCCAUGCUUUGCAUAGCAGCUUCUAUUUGCUUUUGACAAGAUACCGUUUUCACCUUUGUGAUUCACUUACCCUUCUUCCAAUCAAGGGUAUUGCAUCUGGAGUUUGCAAUGUGGUCUCCUCUACACUGGAGAAAUCUAUUACAAAAUACUUUAUGGAACACUUGCGUUCCCUGAUAUUCCUAUUGCUUCUCACUUUAACCCUUGAUCCCGCACCAUCCUGGCCUAUCAACCUGUACCUUCAUGCUCUGUUACAAUUAAAUGCAAGGUUGAGCAACAGUGACUCAUCUUUCAUCUGGCCACACUACAGCUUUCCAGACUCAAUGGUGUAUUUUGCAACUUAAAAUAUUUUGAUUUCUUUGUGUAUUUGUCAUCUAUUUGUGACAUUGACUUUGUUGUUUUUGUUCCCUUUUUUUCCCUUUUCUCCAGCCCAGUCUGCUGGGUGUGUCUUACUUAGCUGCAUUCCUAUAUUGUUUUGUCUAUGUUCUUACUUUCUAAUUGUUUCCGUUCACUCAUUGACCGGAUAACCUUGUUCAUAUUAACUCAUGAUUACCGUGGUUUUACCUCAUCAGACAUAUUCCCCCUACCCCCACACCAUUCCUGUGACUUAACAAGCUUCAUUUCUCUCCUACACGAGGAAAUCUGCAGAUGCUGGAAAUUCAAGCAACACACACAAGAUGCUGGUGGAGCGCAGCAUUUUCUCUCUCUCUGCCCAUCACUCUGCCUGUUCUCCAUCUAUCUCUGGUGCUUCCCUCCCCCUUUCUUUCUCCCUAGGCCUCCUGUCCCAUGAUCCUUUCCCUUCUCUAGCUCUGUAUCCCUUUUGCCAACCACCUUUCCAGCUCUUAGCUUCAUCCCACCCCCUUUGGUCUUCUAUCAUUUCACAUUUCCCCCUCCCCCUCCUACUUUCAAAUCUCUUACUAUCUUUCCUUUCAGUUAGUCCUGACGAAGUGUCUCGGCCCAAAACGUCAACAUUGCUUCUUCCUAUAGAUGCUGCCUGGCCUGCUGCAUUCCACCAGCAUUUUGUGUCAUUUCUCUCCGACCCACUUCUGACAAAAACUCAUCAACAAGAAACAGAUGUAAACUGACCUGCUGGGUAUUUCUGCAUUUUUAGACAUUCAGUCCAAGCUGAUUCAGCAAUCAAGUGGCAGCCAAUGAGGGGAGUUACACAUAGGAGUGAAAAUCCUACAUUGUUGUGAGUUUACUGAAACCCAUCUGCUGACCUCUAGGAAAUUAUUUGGGGGAAUUUCUUUGGCAUGUUUUUGCAUCACAUUAGUAACAGAGUUAAUAUUUCAUUAAUAGUUCAGCACUUUGAGACAUCCACUCAACAACUGUGUCUCUCUUUUACAGCCUAGCAGGAAAGGCCUGGAGUGGGAACUAAAUGAUGAGGGAGACCCCGGUAUAAAGGCGAUUGAGGUCUGAGCCCGGCCUCUCAGUCUCCAGGAUGUAGUAUGGUGGUCACUCACUGCUGGUUCCUUCUUCCAGUCAAUAAAAGCCGAUAUCUCGCCUUACGUCUCAGAUGCUGGGUUUCAGCAGAGGCUCCAAAGACUUUAUUUAUAAUAGAUGAAGCCUUCAAGACGAAUAGCACAUCGGUAGUGUCGAUGAGGAGUCGCAAUGAGUCUACACGGAGAGCAAAGCUAUGUAACUUUAAGAGCCAGUUUUCAGUUGUGCAAUCUUUUUAGAUGAAUUCUAUAUAAUUGACGGUACAUUCUGACAAGUUCAAAAAGCUGAAAGAUUGCUUAUAAUGGUCGUAGCAUGGCUUAAGAACCCAUGUAAAAAGUAACGCAAAACGAUUGUCUUGAUAUUUUUCCAAACCUUUUUAUUCUAUACACACCUGUUUUUUUUCUCUCUAUUGGCACUUGUA